CACCUCUCAGGAUCGCACCUGGAGUUUCCAGUACUCUACCAGUCUCGGCUACGGGAGGGAGAGUUGAGUAGAAGCACCCUCAUUCCAUUCCUAGCUUGGGCAGUGGCUAGUGAGUGGAAAGCAAUCUGCUGCAAGC